rnacentral:rRNA from 1 species
AACGAACGCUGGCGGCAGGCCUAACACAUGCAAGUCGAGCGAGGACUUCGGUCCUAGCGGCGGACGGGUGAGUAACGCGUGGGAACGUGCCCUUUGCUUCGGAAUAGCCCUGGGAAACUGGGAGUAAUACCGGAUGAGCCCUUUGGGGGAAAGAUUUAUCGGCGAAGGAUCGGCCCGCGUUGGAUUAGGUAGUUGGUGGGGUAAUGGCCUACCAAGCCGACGAUCCAUAGCUGGUGUGAGAGGAUGAUCAGCCACACUGGGACUGAGACACGGCCCAGACUCCUACGGGAGGCAGCAGUAGGGAAUCUUAGACAAUGGGGGAAACCCUGAUCUAGCCAUGCCGCGUGAGCGAUGAAGGCCUUAGGGUUGUAAAGCUCUUUCAGCUGGGAAGAUAAUGACGGUACCAGCAGAAGAAGCCCCGGCUAACUCCGUG